UACCGGAUAAGUCUUUACGGAGAAAGCUUUAUGCACCAUUGGAUGAGCCUGCACUUGAUUAGUUUGUUGGUGGGGUAAUGGCCUACCAAGACUGUGAUCAAUAGCUGAUUUGAGAGGAUGAUCAGCCACAUUGGGACUGAGACACGGCCCAAACUCCUACGGGAGGCAGCAGUGGGGAAUCUUGCACAAUGGAGGAAACUCUGAUGCAGCGAUGCCGCGUGAGUGAAGAAGGCCCUUGGGUUGUAAAGCUCUUUCGUCGGGGAAGAAAAUGACUGUACCCGAAUAAGAAGGUCCGG
rnacentral:rRNA from 1 species